UUAAUUGUAAAUUAAUUUUACUAGAGUACUAUGAAUAAAAUUUAAAACUCAAAGAGCUUGGCGGUGCUUUAGACUAUUCAGGGGAACCUGUCUCAUAAUCGACAUUCCACGUGUUAUCUUACCUUUUAGCAGUAUGUAUACCGUCGUCGUCAGGUAACUUUUAAAAAUAUAGAAGUUAGCUAACUUUGACGUCAGAUCAAGGUGCAGCUUAUAGGAAGGUGAGGAUGGGUUACAAUUAAGAUUUAUAACUACGGAAAUGAGCUUUAGAAGGCGGACUUGAAAGUAAAAAUUAGUAUAUAGAUUUUUUGAAUAUAGCUCUGGGGCG
rnacentral:rRNA from 1 species